CCACGAUAGGCCACGAUUUCUGGAAUGGAUCAUGGCUGAAAUCUACAUGGCCGCUGGAUUGGACUACGGCCGAUCAGGCUGUUGGUGAGGUAAUGGCCCACCAAACCUGUAACCGGUACGGGCUUUGAGAGAAGGAGCCCGGAGAUGGGCACUGAGACAAGGGCCCAGGCCCUAUGGGGCGCAGCAGGCGCGAAACCUCUGCAAUAGGCGAAAGCUUGACAGGGUUACUCUGAGUGAUGAUCGCUAAGAUCAUCUUUUGGCACCUCUAAAAAUGGUGUAGAAUAAGGGGUGGGCAAGUCUGGUGUCAGCCGCCGCGGUAAUACCAGCACCCCGAGUGGUCGGGACGAUUAUUGGGCCUAAAGCAUCCGUAGCCGGUUCUGCAAGUCUUCCGUUAAAUCCACCUGCUCAACAGAUGGGCUGCGGGGGAUACUACAGGGCUAGGAGGCGGGAGAGGCAAGCGGUACUCAGUGGGUGGGGUAAAAUCCUCUGAUCCACUGAAGACCACCAGUGGCGAAGGCGGCUUGCCAGAACGCGCUCGACGGUGAGGGAUGAAAGCUGGGGGAGCAAACCGGAUUAGAUACCCGGGUAGUCCCAGCUGUAAACGAUGCAGACUCG
rnacentral:rRNA from 1 species